GCUCUGCGAUACUGUGGCGUGGCAUUCCUAAUGGCGAUUACUUACGGUGGCUACCUGCUUCCUCUAAACCAACUCACUACUCGAGUGCCUUGGGUUGGAUGGAUCGCGUAUACUACACCCGCCCUCUAUGCAUUUGAGGCAUGUAUGGCCACCGAGUUUCAUAACCUGCAGCUUUCAUGCGAGCCAAGGUCGAUUAUCCCUUCAGGUCCUGAUUAUACAGAUACACUAUACCAGACUUGUGCGGGCGCAGGGAGUUUACCAGGACAGCUCAAAAUCGGCGGUGACGCAUACCUAGCCGAAAAAUAUGGUUUUUAUUAUCAUAACGUGUGGAGGAACUUUGGUAUUUUAAUUUUGUUUAUCGUAGUGUAUACCGCUACUAACGCCUGGCUUUGCGAGGCCAUUGAGUGGGAUGACGGCUCUGCUGGUGCUGUUUCAUUCAACCGGAAGAGGAAAUCUCCAUUCAGUGCCGCAGCUAGUGAUGAGGAAAAUAGGGCAUUCGAUGUCGAUCACCAAGCUCCUCCGGCGACGACAAAUGUGGACAUUGCUGGUACCCCCUCCGAACAAAUUGCAACAACGCAA
rnacentral:sRNA from 2 species